UACGUAGGGUGCGAGCGUUAAUCGGAAUUACUGGGCGUAAAGCGUGCGCAGGCGGUGAGCUGUGUCCGAUGUGAAAGCCCCGGGCUUAACCUGGGAAUGGCAUUGGAAACUGGCUCGCUGGAGUUCGGCAGGGGAGACUGGAAUUCCUGGUGUAGCGGUGAAAUGCGCAGAUAUCAGGAGGAACACCGGUGGCGAAGGCGGGUCUCUGGGCCGAUACUGACGCUGAGGAGCGAAAGCGUGGGGAGCGAACAGG
rnacentral:rRNA from 1 species